GAUGAACGCUGACAGAAUGCUUAACACAUGCAAGUCUUUGGUGAAGCUGUGCUUGCACAGCCUAGCCAAGGCGGACGGGUGAGUAACGCGUAAGGAACUUGCCCUGCAGUCAGGGAUAACAGACGGAAACGACUGAUAAGACCUGGUAAAGUCAGGCGGACUCAUGUCCAGCCUGAUGAAAAGAGAUGCUGCAGGAGAGCCUUGCGUCCUAUUAGCUUGUUGGUGGGGUAACGGCCCACCAAGGCAAUGAUAGGUAGCCGGCCUGAGAGGGUGGACGGCCACAAGGGGACUGAGAUACGGCCCUUACUCCUACGGGAGGCAGCAGUGGGGAAUAUUGGACAAGGGGGGCAACCCUGAUCCAGCAAUUCUGUGUGCACGAUGAAGGUUUUCGGAUUGUAAAGUGCUUUCAGCAGGGAAGAAAAAAAUGACGGUACCUGCAGAAGAAGCGACGGCUAAAUACGUG
rnacentral:rRNA from 1 species